rnacentral:rRNA from 1 species
AGCUCCAAUAGCGUAUAUUAAAGUUGUUGCUGUUAAAAAGCUUGUAGUUGAACCUGUGGUUUAUGUUGUGUGCCCAGCACUCAUUGUUGGUUGUGUAUGGCAUUGUCGUCCUUGGGUGGAAUCAGUUUGACAUUAGGUUGUUGGGCAGGGGAUACCCACCAUGGACUGUGAAAAUUAGAGUGUUCAAAGGAGGCCUACGCCUUUGAAUAUAUUAACAUGGAAUACUUAGAUAGGAAUUUGAUACUAUUUUUUUGGUUUGCGCACCAAGGUGACAAUUAAUAGGGCCAGUUGGGGGUAUCCGUAUUCCAUUGUCAGAGGUAAAUUUCUUGGAUUUUGGGAGGAUAAACUACUGCAAAAGCAUUUACCAAGUAUAUAUUUUCA